rnacentral:tRNA from 1 species
CACUGGUGGCUUGUCGUCAUCUUGGGUUUUCUUAUGUUGAUGGAUAUGGCACCACUGGUC